CUCCUGUGGCUUUGCCUCAGCAAGUCUCCUUCUCGAGGUCUCUCCUUGAGGACUGAGAGAGAAUUCUGGUUCACAUACGUGAGCGUGAGAAGGAACCUCUUUGGAGUUUUCUCCUUUCCUUUUACUGAUUUUACUAGAAAAGAGACAUCGCUGUUUAGAAGCCAGUCGAUCGCUCAGUGUCAUCACCCUGCCUGCUGGCUGGGCAGGGUAACUCCUCAGGUCACCACCGUCUCCAGCCUGCCUUGGGCUUGGGGAGUGAGGAGGAGGAUGAACAUCCGCCAUCCAUCACUCCAUCACCUAGAGCAAGAUGUCCAGGCUCCUGAGGAUGUUGAGGAAGAAGGCUCUGCAGGUGGCCCCAGAGCCUGAGGAAAGCAGCUGCCACCUUCCUCAGAAGCAGAGCGGCCUCUCCGUCUCCACUGGCGGGGAAGCAGCUCUCAGCCAGGUCAGGAGGUAGAAGUGCUCAGCCUUCUGUCAGAGGAAACCAGCUCCCAGAGCAGGUGCCGAGGUGGGAGAGGCAGCGGCCAGGUCCCAAUAGAGCUGGCCCAGGAUGCAGCUGGGCAGGCAGGACCCAGCCCAGAAGGGGAGCCGGACAGGGUGAUUCUGGGGCUUGUUGUGUGGGCAGCAGCGGCACCAGGAGCCCAGCCCUGAUUCCCAGCAGAAGGCGUUGCCCUGCCCAGUCACCGAGGAUCUUCCAGCUCUCCAGGGCAGGAGGUGGAAGAUCCCUGUCCCAGCACCAGCAGCUCGGGCCAUGGGGGUCUUUUGGGGGAGAAAUGGGAUCCCUGAUACAUAGCCUGGCUGGGAGCUUUCCCUGUCCCUGGAUCCCAGCCCUGGGACAGAGACAUCUUCAUCAAUGUGCCACCUUUGUUUUGCUCCUAAAAGAAGCUCCCCAGAGAUGUCCUCGAACCUGGACUCCCGAGAGUGUUUCUGGCAGGAGUGUCCAGCCCCUCAGGCAUGAAAAGAGCAACCUGCAGUCUUGUUCACAUGGCAUCUCUGCUCCCCAACUCCACUCCCUGCAGUAGAACAAACAAACCCUUCAGCUCCCAGAGUCCCGACUCUUUGACCUCCUUCCACUCAGCAGUGGGGUUUCUCCAGCCUCCUCACCACACCUGUCAGUCUCUGAAUGAUGUAGGGCCUGAAUGUCAGAGUCACCAGAACAAGCACUCUCGAUUUCCAAGCAGCGGGGCCUGUGUGUACUCAGCCCCUCUGGAAACCAGGUCUGAAAUGGGGAGCAAGAACCCCAGCCCAGUAACAGUAGGAGUGGGCAGAGCAGGCCUGUACCAGGGUGCUUUCUCCUGGGCUGCAAAGCCUGGGGCCUAGCCAAGCUGAUUACAGAAUGAGCCCUACCUGAGAGGGACUAUGUACCUCCUCCUAAAGAGCCAGAUUUCAGUAGUGAUACGGCCCAGCAGGGGUAUCAACAGGAAUGAGAACGAGGUAGGAAGUUCAGAGCAGCAAGGAAAGCCUAGAGGGGAACUUGAGAAGAGAGGUAGGAAGUGCCCAGGGAAAACUGCAGCAAAGAGAAAGGAGCAGACCAAGCUGUUGGGUACAGGGCUCUGGGCUGCUACCAGUGUCAGGGUGGGGCUGGGUUCCCCUGCUGGCCCAAAGAAGGGGGCAUACAAACACCCGGAGAGAGUUCCAAGCCUAGCAAGGGGGCUGCAGGCUGAGCAAGAGCCCCGGCGAUGACAGAAGGACUUUUUUCUGUGGAAAGACCUCUUUGGACUUUUAGUAUGAGACAAGCUGGGCCCAGUAAGGGUGGACUAAAGGUGGUGACCAGGCCGGAGGCUGAGUUACUAGGCAGAGAAACUGCCAUGGUGCUGGAGCAACCAUUGAUGGGGGACGCUAGCCCAGCAAGAGGGCUGUGAUUCUAUGUCUGGACAAAAAGAGCAGACACGGAGAGCAUGCCUGGGCUGUGCUGAGAAGGUUAGUCCAGGAGAGCAGGGCAUGAGAAAGUGUACAAGCGUGGCCUAAUGCCAAGAUGGGGACAAGAGUUCUUUGUUUUGGGUGCAGAGAACAGGCCAUAUCAAAACACAGGCCUGCUUAGGAAAUUGCUGAGUGGCAAAAGGAGGGGCCAGGGCCCCAAGAAGGUAGAAAGAAAGGAGAAGGUGUCCUCUGGCACAAAUCCACAUGAGGCAGGCAAUGUGGAGGUGGCAGGGAUGGCCGUGGACUUUGCAGACCCUCCACCAACACACCCUGUCGGGUUCUGCAGGGAGGUGAAGGAUGAAAUGGUUGGCACAGAGAUGAAGCAGACUGAAGUGGGGACAAACACAAGGGUGGAACAGUCCAUGAUGGAUCCUUAGACCCUGACAGAAAAGGUUUUGGGGGAUGCAGCGGCAGUAGCAAAAAGGCUAUAGGAGAAGCUAGUGGCUUCAGAACAAGGCUCUCCAAGCAGCUGUUAAUGAGAAUGAGUGGCAGAAGGAAGAGCGUUGGGAUACUGCAGAAGAGGAGGAUUGCCUCUUAAUUCUGGUGAGCGAGCUGGCAGUGGAGCUGGAGAUGCUGAGUGCCCAGGCUGUACAAGCGCGCAGCCGGUGACAGCGACGAGAUGGGGAGGGAUGAAGCUUGGACAAGAGUAGAACUUGCCCUUGGUUUGGGCUGGAUUUUAAGGAGGGUAUAUAACAGGAUGGCUUGGUCUGUUGGCUGUAAAGCCUGGAGUUAGGCCAAAAUUGAUUUCAAAGUGAGCCCCACCUGAGGGGAAACCAGGGAAAACUGCAGGAAAAGUAAAGGAGCAGGCCUAGCAGUUCAGUACAGGGCUUUGGGCCAGAACCUAGUGUCCAGGGCAGGAGUGGGUUCUCUCACCAUCCCCAAGGAAGACGAUGUACCAUACAAGAUCAUGGAAAGGGCUACCAAGCCCAGCAAGGGCAGGCCAAGCCAAAGUUAGUCUGAGGAAGUGCCCCCAAGAGGGCGGAAGGCCUUGUUUCUGUUAAAGACAUUUUUGAACUUUUAGUUUGGGAUGAGCGUGACCCAGGAAGGAGCGGACUAAAGGA